CAAAAAAUUCCAUAUAGUAUAUAAGAAUUUUUUAGUUUGUAAAUUCUAAUUUUAUUACUUAGUGAAUGUUGUUAAGGGUUAUCACAUUUUAUAGAAUUAAACGUUUACCACACAUUUAUGAUUUAAUUAAACAAGUAUUCUUUAAGAAAAGAUUUACUUUUGUAGGUAUUAUAAUAAUGAUAGACCUAAAAGGAGACUGGAGGAAUAGGUGUGAGGGGCACAACUGUAUUUGGCCAUAAAAGUUCCAAAACCCCAAAAGAGUCACAAAGCACAGUAAGAGAAAGAUUGAGCAUUAAUCUAUACUAUUCCUUCCCUGCUUGAUAGCAAGAACUUUAAGCCUCCACAUGAUGAUCCAUCUUUACUUUUAGUUAUCUUGUUAACAGAUCAGAAGUGCUAUUUAUUCAUUAUAUGCGAUUCAUUAAUUAUUAAAAAGGUAAAAGAUUGAGAGGAUUAGGCAACAUAAAAAAAUAUUCGUAUGUUAUGAAAUGAGUUUAAUUUAGACAAAUGUAACUUAAAAUUAUAUGUUUUAUUAUAGCUGAUAGGUAUCAUAUAUAUAUUUUAUGAUGUAAAUAUUCAAAUUAAAAAAAAAUUAUUAAUAAUAAAUUUUUAUAUCUGUAUCCGUAAAUUUUUGCAUCAUAGAAAAAUUCUGUAUAUGUGUAUAAUAAAAACAAUAACAAAGCAGCAAAUAAAUUAUUAUAGGGAUGAAGAAAUAGGAGUUGCACCACAGCAGAGCUUAUUAUUAUUUGCAAGCUAGCUAGGUGGUUCAUCAAUGAAUUUUACAAUGGCCACCAGAACCAGAAUUGCCGCCUAUGUAAGUGCAAGAGAAGUGGUUGGAAGGUGGGACAGGACCCCUUACAAGUGGAAAUUUCUUCCUGCUUUUAUCCGCGACUUCAACCAUUGUUUUGAGUCUCUCCGCUUCCAACGGCCUGCAAGCUAAGUUAGGUUUCAACCUCGUGAGAAUCAGCAACAUAAAGACUAUCACUUUGCAAAAGUUCUCAACACAAUCGCAAUGUCAACGCCACCGUUGUCAUCCUCCAAGGAACUCCUGUCGCGGCAACAGGGUUCGGGUUUUUGUCAAUCAAAAUGGGAUAGUCACUCAAGUCCAUCAGAUUGGCCAGAUACAGAUCUAGCUAUUUUAUAUGAAAAUUAAACACUAUUUAUCAUUGUUAAUAAAUGAUUAAUGAAUUUAUUUCUAAAAUAAUAGUUUAAAUGCUUAUUAUUUAAAAAAAAUAUUUUUUAUAAUUUUAAAUAAAAAAUAAUAAAAUUAAAUAUCUUAAUUAAAAUUAUAUAACAUAGCAAGCAUCAACAAUGAUAAUACAUAGUAAAUUAUUCAUCUAAAUAUGAACUUCAUUAUAUAUGUGGUGGGAAAAUUAAUUAUAUAUUUGUAUAAUUUCCACACUAAAAUAUUUUUACUCUUAAAUAAAAUGCCUUCUGUUUCUGAAAAAAUAAAAUAAAUGUUUCAACUGCUUGUGGCUCACAAAUAAAAGCCCAUCCAAAGCUUUAAUUUUAUGCCUAGUGGGUUCAACACAUGUAUAAUUUAAAGUUGUGAAUCCAAAACAUUGAAAAAUUGUUCUAAAUGACAAAAAAAUAAAAAAAUAAAAAAUUCUAGGGAUAAUGCAUAUGAGAAGCCAAGCCCUGUAAGAGGGACACGCACACAUAAGUAUAUCACACUCUGAUGACACGUAUAUAGGAGAGAGGCUGACUAUGCUGCUUUGAACUCCACCGCCGCACCGCAUGCACAUGAUAUAAAUCACCCGCCAAAAGUGUCUACAAACUACAAACGGAGAACCAACUCAAUUUUAUUUCUAUUCGCACCCUGAAUUUGCACAUUUAAUUUUGGAGAGAGACAAAUUACUAGAAAGAAUCAGAGAAAGAUGGCAACGACCCAAUGUGCAGCUGGAAAGAAGUCUUGGCCAGAGGUGGUAGGAUUAAGUGGAGAGGUAGCAAAGGCAAAGAUAGAGAAAGAGAAUCCCACCGUGACAGCUGAGAUCAAAAUGCAUGGGACUUCUACCUCCGACGACUACAUGAGGGCCGAUAGAGUUCGGGUUUGGGUCGAUCUUAAAGGGGUCGUCAAAGAUGUCCCUCAAGUCGGUUGAGACUAUUGAGGUUGAUAAUCAAAUAUUAUCACCCAAUUGAUAUUUGUAUACUUAAUCGUGUACUACUCUAAUAAUAGCGUUUCUGGUUGGGUUUCUAGUAAGUGUCGGUGUAAAUUGGGCUUCAUGAGUUUUACAUCUUUGGGCCUUUUUGUUUUUUGGGCUCUAGAAUAUGACACCAUAGGCAUUAGGCCCAAUCAAUAAAUGAGGUCCAUCAUGCACCUAACCUCUAUGUUGUAUUUUGCAUUUUUAACUAAUAAUAAGAAAAUAGAUUUAUCAUA